AUGCAGCUUAUUAAGCCGACCAGUUGUACUGUGGUGUGUUACUGGUGUGCAAAAGCUGCAGACAGUGACUCUUUGGUUGUGUAUGUCCUCAGCUGGGAGGUGCUGAGUGCUUUAAGGGACCACUGAGACAAAA
ensembl:snoRNA SNORA70 Small nucleolar RNA SNORA70